AGCGAACGCUGGCGGCAGGCCUAACACAUGCCAGUCGAACGGAUCCUUCGGGAUUAGUGGCGGACGGGUGAGUAACACGUGGGAACGUGCCCUUUGGUUCGGAACAACUCAGGGAAACUUGAGCUAAUACCGGAUGUGCCCUUCGGGGGAAAGAUUUAUCGCCAUUGGAGCGGCCCGCGUCUGAUUAGCUAGUUGGGGAGGUAACGGCCCACCAAGGCGACGAUCAGUAGCUGGUCUGAGAGGAUGAUCAGCCACACUGGGACUGAGACACGGCCCAGACUCCUACGGGAGGCAGCAGUGGGGAAUCUUGCGCAAUGGGCGAAAGCCUGACGCAGCCAUGCCGCGUGAAUGAUGAAGGUCUUAGGAUUGUAAAAUUCUUUCAGCGGGGACGAUAAUGACGGUACCCGCAGAAGAAGCUCCGGCUAACUUCGUG
rnacentral:rRNA from 1 species